rnacentral:rRNA from 1 species
CAGUCGUACCUAUGGGUAAUCAGCCUUUUGGGUGUGAUUAUGUGGAGCGUGAGGAGUUAAACGCCUUCAUGCUUGCAUAUUCGUGCACUUUGGGUGUACUUGCCCGUAUGGUUGGUUAACAUCAAUUUUGGUGGUCAUAAAAUGACUGGAGGAAUGUAGCUUCGAUCUCGUAUUGAAGUGUUAUAGCCUUCGGUAGAUGUGAUGAUCGAGAUUGAGGAUUGCAACGGAUACCCUUCGGGGCUACCUGUCUGAUCUCUGAUCGUUGCUCUGGUGCCGAAAGCUUGCUUACGGUUAUCAAAGUCGAUGGUCAAUAGGUUAGAACGGGUUAAAUUCGUUAAGGAUGUUGACGUAAUGGCUUUAAACGA